AAGAAACAAAAACAAAUCUCGAUACUGUUGUAUAUUGCUCUAAAGUUUAUUAUCAAUCUUCGUGAAAUUUAGUAGUGUUAGCAAAGCAAAAGUUGUAGUUUAGUGAACUUUACUAUCAAAUCAAGUUGAAUUACCUUUUGUACCACACUCAACGCGAAGGCAGAACAUAACCGUGCACUCAACCGUAUACUGACGGUAGUUUAUACGGCAUAGUUCAGGAGUAAAGAAAUAGCGAAGGAACGAACGGAAAUAGGAUCAGCAAGGAUUCGGAUUCGUAAGGAAGUGAGAAACUAUUUGAUUUUUGAGCUACUCCGAAUAGUUGCUGCGAAAUAAAUAGUGUAUCCAAACAAUCUCAAAAAUCAAAUAACGAGAUUUCGGUACCCUCAAUCACGAUGAGCCAAAAAUCCUUGGACCUAACCGCGACGCCUUGCGCUGAC